UAGGGAAUCUUCGGCAAUGGGGGCAACCCUGACCGAGCAACGCCGCGUGAGUGAAGAAGGUUCUCGGAUCGUAAAGCUCUGUUGUAAGAGAAGAACGUGUGUGAGAGGGGAAAGUUCACACAGUGACGGUAACUUACCAGAAAGGGACGGCUAACUACGUGCCAGCAGCCGCGGUAAUACGUAGGUCCCGAGCGUUGUCCGGACUUAUUGGGCGUAAAGUGGGCGCAGGCGGUUUAAUAAGUCUGAAGUUAAAGGCAGUGGCUUAACCAUUGUUCGCUUUGGAAACGGUUAGACUUGAGUGCAGAAGGGGAGAGUGGGAUUCCGUGUGUAGCGGUGAAAUGCGUAGAUAUAUGGAGGAACACCGGUGGCGGAAGCGGCUCUCUGAUCUGUGACAGACGCUAAGGCUCGAAAGCGUAGGGAGCAAACAGG
rnacentral:rRNA from 1 species